ACAUGCAAGUCGAGCGAACGGACGAGAAGCUUGCUUCUCUGAUUUUAGCGGCGGACGGGUGAGUAACACGUGGAUAACCUACCUAUAAGACUGGGAUAACUUCGGGAAACCGGAGCUAAUACCGGAUAAUAUUUUGAACCGCAUGGUUCAAAAGUGAAAGACGGUCUUGCUGUCACUUAUAGAUGGAUCCGCGCUGCAUUAGCUAGUUGGUAAGGUAACGGCUUACCAAGGCAACGAUGCAUAGCCGACCUGAGAGGGUGAUCGGCCACACUGGAACUGAGACACGGUCCAGACUCCUACGGGAGGCAGCAGUAGGGAAUCUUCCGCAAUGGGCGAAAGCCUGACGGAGCAACGCCGCGUGAGUGAUGAAGGUCUUCGGAUCGUAAAACUCUGUUAUUAGGGAAGAACAUAUGUGUAAGUAACUGUGCACAUCUUGACGGUACCUAAUCAGAAAGCCACGGCUAACUACGUGCCAGCAGCCGCGGUAAUACGUAGGUGGCAAGCGUUAUCCGGAAUUAUUGGGCGUAAAGCGCGCGUAGGCGGUUUUUUAAGUCUGAUGUGAAAGCCCACGGCUCAACCGUGGAGGGUCAUUGGAAACUGGAAAACUUGAGUGCAGAAGAGGAAAGUGGAAUUCCAUGUGUAGCGGUGAAAUGCGCAGAGAUAUGGAGGAACACCAGUGGCGAAGGCGACUUUCUGGUCUGUAACUGACGCUGAUGUGCGAAAGCGUGGGGAUCAAACAGGAUUAGAUACCCUGGUAGUCCACGCCGUAAACGAUGAGUGCUAAGUGUUAGGGGGUUUCCGCCCCUUAGUGCUGCAGCUAACGCAUUAAGCACUCCGCCUGGGGAGUACGACCGCAAGGUUGAAACUCAAAGGAAUUGACGGGGACCCGCACAAGCGGUGGAGCAUGUGGUUUAAUUCGAAGCAACGCGAAGAACCUUACCAAAUCUUGACAUCCUUUGACAACUCUAGAGAUAGAGCCUUCCCCUUCGGGGGACAAAGUGACAGGUGGUGCAUGGUUGUCGUCAGCUCGUGUCGUGAGAUGUUGGGUUAAGUCCCGCAACGAGCGCAACCCUUAAGCUUAGUUGCCAUCAUUAAGUUGGGCACUCUAAGUUGACUGCCGGUGACAAACCGGAGGAAGGUGGGGAUGACGUCAAAUCAUCAUGCCCCUUAUGAUUUGGGCUACACACGUGCUACAAUGGACAAUACAAAGGGCAGCGAAACCGCGAGGUCAAGCAAAUCCCAUAAAGUUGUUCUCAGUUCGGAUUGUAGUCUGCAACUCGACUACAUGAAGCUGGAAUCGCUAGUAAUCGUAGAUCAGCAUGCUACGGUGAAUACGUUCCCGGGUCU
rnacentral:rRNA from 1 species